GACGAACGCUGGCGGCGUGCCUAAUACAUGCAAGUCGAGCGGACGGAUGGGAGCUUGCUCCCAGACCGUCAGCGGCGGACGGGUGAGUAACACGUGGGCAACCUGCCUGUAAGACUGGGAUAACUCCGGGAAACCGGGGCUAAUACCGGAUAACUCUUUCCCUCACAUGAGGGAAAGCUGAAAGAUGGCAUCUCGCUAUCACUUACAGAUGGGCCCGCGGCGCAUUAGCUAGUUGGUGAGGUAACGGCUCACCAAGGCGACGAUGCGUAGCCGACCUGAGAGGGUGAUCGGCCACACUGGGACUGAGACACGGCCCAGACUCCUACGGGAGGCAGCAGUAGGGAAUCUUCCGCAAUGGACGAAAGUCUGACGGAGCAACGCCGCGUGAGCGAUGAAGGUUUUCGGAUCGUAAAACUCUGUUGUCAGGGAAGAACAAGUACCGGAGUAACUGCCGGUACCUUGACGGUACCUGACCAGAAAGCCACGGCUAACUACGUG
rnacentral:rRNA from 1 species